CAGUAGCCACGGUAUCCGUAGGUGGCGAGCGUCGUCCGGAUUCAUUGGGCGUAAAGGGAGUGUAGGCGGUCUUUUAAGUCUGAUGUGAAAGCCCACGGCUCAACCGUGGAGGGUCAUUGGAAACUGGGAGACUUGAGUGCAGAAGAGGAGAGCGGAAUUCCAUGUGUAGCGGUGAAAUGCGUAGAUAUAUGGAGGAACACCAGUGGCGAAGGCGGCUCUCUGGUCUGUAACUGACGCUGAGGCUCGAAAGCGUGGGGAGCAAACAGGAUUAGAUACCCGCGUAGUCCCUGUCUCUUAUACA
rnacentral:rRNA from 1 species